rnacentral:rRNA from 1 species
CCUACGGGAGGCAGCAGUGAGGAAUAUUGGUCAAUGGUCGGGAGACUGAACCAGCCAAGCCGCGUGAGGGAUGAAGGUCCAGAGUAUCGUAAACCUCUUUUGUCAGGGAACAGAGGCGGGGACGUGUCCCCUGCUGAGUGUACCUUACGAAAAAGCAUCGGCUAACUCCGUGCCAGCAGCCGCGGUAAUACGGAGGAUUCGGGCGUUGUCCGGAUUUAUUUGGGUUAAAGGGUGCGCCGUGCGUCUGUUAAGGCAGCUGUCAAAGCCCGGGGCUCAACCCGGGGCCGGCGGUUGAAACUGGCAGUCUCGAGUUGGAGAGAAGUAGGCGGAAUGCGUGGUGUAGCGGUGAAAUGCAUAGAUAUCGCGCAGAACUCCGAUUGCGAAGGCAGCAUGCCGGAUCCACACUGACGCUGAGGCACGAAAGCGUGGGUAUCGAACAGGAUUAGAUACCCCUGUAGUC